rnacentral:rRNA from 1 species
UACGUAGGUGGCAAGCGUUGUCCGGAUUUAUUGGGCGUAAAGCGCUCGCAGGUGGUCCGCUGCGUCGUGCGUGAAAGACCCCGGCUCAACUGGGGGAUGUCGUGCGAUACGGGCGGACUGGAGGCCAGUAGGGGGAUGCGGAAUUCCGGGUGUAGUGGUGGAAUGCGUAGAGAUCCGGAGGAACACCAGCGGCGAAGGCGGCAUCCUGGACUGGUCCUGACACUCAGGAGCGAAAGCGUGGGGAGCGAUCCGG